rnacentral:rRNA from 1 species
AUUGAACGCUGGCGGCAGGCCUAACACAUGCAAGUCGAACGAGUGGCGGACGGGUGAGUAAUGUCUGGGAAACUGCCUGAUCGACCGAGAUGACUACUGGAAACGGUAGCUACUACCGCAUACCAUCAGAUGUGCCCAGAGUGGAUUAGCUUGUUGGUGGGCUAACGGCUAACAAAGGCGACGAUGCCUAGCUGGUCUGAGAGGAUGACCAGCCACACUGGAACUGAGACACGGUCCAGACUCCUACGGGAGGCAGCAGUGGGGAAUAUUGCACAAUGGGCGAAAGUCUGAUGCAGCAAUGCCGCGUGUAUGAAGAAGGUCUUCGGGUUGUAAAGUACUUUCAGCGGGGAGGCGUUACCCGCAGAAGAAGCACCGGCUAACUCCGUGCCAGCAGCCGCGGUAAUUC